rnacentral:rRNA from 1 species
UACGUAGGAGGCGAGCGUUGUCCGGAUUUACUGGGCGUAAAGGGCGCGUAGGCGGCGUGUUAAGUCAGCUGUGAAAUCUCCAAGCUCAACUUGGAACGGCCAGCUGAUACUGAUGUGCUAGAGUGCAGAAGGGGCAAUCGGAAUUCUUGGUGUAGCGGUGAAAUGCGUAGAUAUCAAGAGGAACACCUGAGGUGAAGACGGGUUGCUGGGCUGACACUGACGCUGAGGCGCGAAAGCCAGGGGAGCAAACGGG